UCUCACACCUCAGAAAUGAAAGGAAAAGCAUGGGUGUUGCUUUGAAAUGUUUCAAGUAAAUCCAAACCUAUGAACUUGUAGUAGGUCUGUCAACAUCUACAUGGAAGCAUCUUAUCUAUUAAAUAGUGGCCUCUUCCAUGAUCAUGAACAUGACAGAGGUGGCCUUCUUCUCCUUCUUCUUCUUCUUCUUCUACUUCUUGAGGGUUGCUAUCUGUAACUAUCAUCUUUGUGGGGACCAAUUCCUGCACCACAAGAAUCAAAGCAGUGGCUGCCAACCCAUUGAAACAUGCACCAGUGUGUAGUUCAACCCCAUAUCCACUGAGCAGCUUCUGAGAAAGAAGUGGGGAUGCAGCUACCACCAUGAUCACCAAAGAAUGGUGAGAUAAAAAGAGUGCAGGAAAAUCUAAGAAUUCGACAAAAAAGUACCUUCUAUCGACUAUGCCGACAUGUAGAAUAUAAAUUUUGGUUGGUAACUUCUGUUAAUCUCCUUUUCUUGCACAAGGUCUAGCUGAAAACAAUGUUAAUUGAUGAGAGCAAGCAGACUGGGAGCUUAAAACAGCAAGAUCUGAAACUUCUCUAGGGUUAAGGCGACCUGGAGAAUUUCACCAACAGAUCCACAGCUUGUGGUGUUUCCCAUGCAUCUAAUUAAUAAUCAUAGUUAAAAAUGAGAAAAUUAUUGAACUGGAAUUACCUGCUCUAUAGCUCAUGCUCAUCUUUCCACUGAAGAGAUGAGUUAAGCAUCCUACAAUGAUUUGUCAAGCCCCUUAUGACUUAGGCUGAUCUUAGAUCAUAAAAUAUAUCUGUUUUUGAUCCAGAAUUAGAACAAGAGUCACAUCCAACAAUUACCUUUGCUAAUCUUCAUCCUUCAGAAGAGUUUUGGUUUCUUUCAUUUCUUUGGUAACAAAAUUCUUCCUUUUCACCAUAGCAGCAGAUGUUUUCAAGAGCAUUUGCUAGAUAAGUGUAAAAGGCCAAUUACUUAAAUGCAGGUAAAU
rnacentral:lncRNA from 1 species